CGGAACUCUGACACAGGUGCUGCAUGGCUGUCGUCAGCUCGUGUCGUGAGAUUGGUUGGGUUAAGUCCCGUAACGAGCGCAACCUUGUCCUUAGUUACCAGCACGUUAUGGUGGGCACUCUAAGGAGACUGCCGGUGACAAACCGGAGGAAGGUGGGGAUGACGUCAAGUCAUCAUGGCCCUUACGGCCUGGGCUACACACGUGCUACAAUGGUCGGUACAAAGGGUUGCCAAGCCGCGAGGUGGAGCUAAUCCCAUAAAACCGAUCGUAGUCCGGAUCGCAGUCUGCAACUCGACUGCGUGAAGUCGGAAUCGCUAGUAAUCGUGAAUCAGAAUGUCACGGUGAAUACGUUCCCGGGCCUU
rnacentral:rRNA from 1 species